AGGGACUACAGGGGUUUCUAAUCCUGUUUGCUCCCCACGCUUUCGUGCAUGAGCGUCAGUGUUAUCCCAGGAGGCUGCCUUCGCCAUCGGUGUUCCUCCGCAUCUCUACGCAUUUCACUGCUACACGCGGAAUUCCACCUCCCUCUGACACACUCUAGUCUUGCAGUCACAAGCGCAGUUCCCAGGUUAAGCCCGGGGAUUUCACGCCUGUCUUACAAAACCGCCUGCGCACGCUUUACGCCCAGUAAUUCCGAUUAACGCUUGCACCCUACGUCUUACCGCGGCUGCUGGCAGGA
rnacentral:misc_RNA from 1 species